CUGCUUGGUUUUGGUGCUGCUGAAGCUGCACUCUCCUGACCUGAGGGCCCCAUGCAGCGUGCUUGUGGCUGUGGUCACUGACCCUGCGCUGUGAGCACUCCGUGAGUGAGGAGUCUUGUAUCUUCCUCAGCCCUGACAUUCCCUUGGUGACCCAGCAACUCAACAGGUGAACCCAGCAGUUUCCUGGUCAGGAGAGCUCAGCAAGCAGAGCCCCAGGCAACCCACUGCCCACAGAAGAGGAGAGAGAAGUUCUGAGUGGACCCCAGCAUGUGCUCCCAGCCCCUGAAAGGAGUGGGGAGAUGUUCCUUCUUCCCCCCGAAGACCUGAGCUUCCCUCUGAUGGUGCUGUGUCCCUCCCUGAACCAUGCCUGUGACAGGAGAAGUCACUCCAGUCCUGGCCAGGUUCCCCAUCAUGCAGGAUCCCCAGGUGAGCACCCCUGACACCUCAGCAAACUCGGAAGCCCAGCCCCUGGGCUUCAGCACAUCCACAAUCAACCUGAGUGCCCGGCGUUUUGGAGGUGGCGUUUGGAGGUGCGGAGGUUGAAAGGUACCAAGGACAUAACCAAAACAUUUGAGCAUGGCAGGCUCAGGUCCUUGACAAAAUGCUCUGUGCAAAAUUAAAUCCAGUUAAAGGAGAAAUUGCCUUACUUGAUUAAAGAAAACGUCAGUGUGUAAG